rnacentral:rRNA from 1 species
GGUUCGAUCCUGGCUCAGAUUGAACGCUGGCGGGAUGCUUUACACAUGCAAGUCGGAAUUUUAAAGGCACGGACUUCGGUCUGGUGGCGAGUGGCGAACGGGUGAGUAAUGUAUCGGAACGUGCCUAGUAGCGGGGAUAACUGCCGAGUUGUGAAGCAUUACCGCUACUGCCCUUCGGGGGAAAGCGGGGACCUUCGGGCCUCGCACUAUUAGAAGUACGGGAUAUCGGAUUAGCUAGUUGCGUAACGGCUCACUACUAAGGCGACGAUCCGUAGCUGGUCAGAGAGGACGACCAGCCACACUGGGACUGAGACACGCCUCAGACUCUACGGAGGCAGCAGUGGGGAAUUUUGGACAAUGGGGAAACUCCUGAUCCAGCCAUCCCGCGUGUGCGAUGAAGGCCCUUCGGGUUGUAAAGCACUUUUUGGCAGGAAAGGAAAUGCACGGAUAAUACCCCGUGCAACUGAUUGGGUACCUGCAGAAUAAGCACCGGCUAACUACGUGCCAGCAGCUGCGGUAAUACGUAGGCGUGGGCGUUAAUCGGAAUUAUUGGGCGUAAAGCGUAAGGUAUAAGGGUUCGGAAAGAAAAGAUGUGAAAUCCAGAGCUUAACUUUGGAACUGCAUUUUUAACUACCGAGCUAGAGUGUGUCAGGAGGGAGGUGGAAUUCCGCGUGUAGCAGUGAAAUGCGUAGAUAUGCGGAGGAACACCGAUGGCGAAGGCAGCCUUGGGAUAACAUCACUGACGCUCAUGCACGAAAGCGUGGGGAGCAACAGGAUUAGAUACCUCUGGUAGUCCACGCCCUAAACGAUGUCAACUAGCUGUUGGGGCCUUCGGCCUUGGUAGCGCAGCUAACGCGUGAAGUUGACCGCCUGGGGAGUACGGUCGCAAGAUUAAAACUCAAAGGAAUUGACGGGGACCCGCACAAGCGGUGGAUGAUGUGGAUUAAUUCGAUGCAACGCGAAAACCUUUACCUACCCUUGACAUGUCUGGAAUCCCGAAGAGAUUGGGAGUGCUCGCAAGAGAACCGGAACACAGGUGCUGCAUGGCUGUCGCCGUCAGGUCGAGAUGUUGCCAAGUCCCGCAAUGAGUUGCGCAACCCUUGUCAUUAGUUGCUACGAAAGGGCACUCUAAUGAGACUGCCGGUGACAAACCGAGCAGCGGGGAUAGUCAAGUCCUCACACCCUUUAUGGGUAGGGCUUCACACGUCAUACAAUGGGAUACCGGACAGAGGGUCGCCAACCCGCGAGGGGGGAGCCAAUCCCAGAAACCCGAUCAACCGAUCGCAGUCUGCAACUCUCGACUGCGUGAAGUCGGAAUCGCUAGUAAUCGCGGAUCAGCAUGUCGCGGUGAAUACGUUCCCGGGUCUUGCGCUACACACCGCCCGUCACACCAUGGGAGUGGGUUUUACCAGAAGUAGUUAGCCUAACCGUAAGGGAGACAUUACCACGGUAGGAUUCAUGACUGGGGUGAAGUCGUAACAAGGUAG